GAUGAACGCUGGCGGCGUGCCUAAUACAUGCAAGUCGAACGCUUCACUUCGGUGAAGAGUGGCGAACGGGUGAGUAAUACAUAAGUAACCUGGCAUCUACAGGGGGAUAACUGAUGGAAACGUCAGCUAAGACCGCAUAGGUGUAGAGAUCGCAUGAACUCUAUAUGAAAAGUGCUACGGGACUGGUAGAUGAUGGACUUAUGGCGCAUUAGCUUGUUGGUAGGGUAACGGCCUACCAAGGCGACGAUGCGUAGCCGACCUGAGAGGGUGACCGGCCACACUGGGACUGAGACACGGCCCAUACUCCUACGGGAGGCAGCAGUAGGGAAUUUUCGGCAAUGGGGGAAACCCUGACCGAGCAACGCCGCGUGAAGGAAGAAGUAAUUCGUUAUGUAAACUUCUGUCAUAGAGGAAGAACGGUGGAUAUAGGGAAUGAUAUCCAAGUGACGGUACUCUAUAAGAAAGCCACGGCUAACUACGUG
rnacentral:rRNA from 1 species